rnacentral:rRNA from 1 species
AAUUUAGUGAAUCAUCGAAUCUUUGAACGCACAUUGCGCCCUUUGGUAUUCCGAGGGGCAUGCCUGUUCGAGCGUCAUCACACCUCUUCGAGCCGCCUUGUGUGGUUUCCGGUGUUGGAGUCCGUCGCGUGCGACGACUCUUAAAGACAGUGGCGGG